UUCAACUUCAAAAUCAAAUAUAUUCCAACCCUUCAUAUAUCGUGAAUACCAUUUGGCAAAAUAUUUGUAUUAUAGAUUGGAAAUAAUACAAAUUUGUUAUUUUGAAUGAUGUAUUGGAAACAUAAACUGCGGGACAGCGUUUAAUUGGUUAUUGCAUGAGCUUGUGACGUCAGAAGAGAUGUGGUGCCUGGAGACGGUUGACCUGGUCAGUGGUCGGCGGGAAGGCGCCGGAGAAGGACGUGGUCGUCACCUCUACGCUGGAGAAUACUUUAACUUCAUUGGAGUUAAGCUUGGCGACGUUCUACAUUAUUCCGGUUGUGGAAGGUCCCUACAACAGUCUGGUCAGAAGGAACUUCAGUUUUACUGAAAGAUUAUGAAUAUUGCUUGGACAGUGAAACUCCUUCCUUCAGUUGGGAGGUGUUAAUGGCUUCAAUUACAGAAUGAGGUGGCAAUGAAGGUUACAAAGAACACGGCAGUG